rnacentral:tRNA from 1 species
GCGGGUAUGGUUCAAUGGUAGAACUCCUCCUUGCCAAGGAGGGGAUAGGGGUUCGAUUCCCCUUACCCGCUCCA